rnacentral:rRNA from 1 species
UACGUAGGGUGCAAGCGUUAAUCGGAAUUACUGGGCGUAAAGCGUGCGCAGGCGGUUAUGUAAGACAGGUGUGAAAUCCCGGGCUUAACCUGGGAACUGCAUUUGUGACUGCAUAGUUAGAGUACGGUAGAGGGGAUGGAAUUCCGCGUGUAGCAGUGAAAUGCGUAGAUAUGCGGAGGAACACCGAUGGCGAAGGCAAUCCCCUGGACCUGUACUGACGCUCAUGCACGAAAGCGUGGGGAGC